CUUGCCGCCGGCGACCGGCGCACGGGUGAGUAACACGUAUGCAACCUGGCCGUGACAGAUGGAUAACCGGGAGAAAUCCCGCCUAAUACAACAUAAUGCCGGGAGGGGACAUCCCCUGCCGGCCAAAGGGGGCGACCCCGGUCACGGAUGGGCAUGCGGCGCAUUAGGUAGUUGGUGGGGCAACGGCCCACCAAGCCGACGAUGCGUAGGGGUUCUGAGAGGAAGGUCCCCCACAUUGGAACCGAGACACGGUCCAAACUCCUACGGGAGGCAGCAG
rnacentral:rRNA from 1 species